AGACAACACAAGCCCCCUCCUCUGACCUGGAACAACUCAACAAUUCAGGACUCUUAGAUUUUCAAGAUGAUGACUGAGAAACUGUUCCACAGCCUUGGAGUCUCCUCAUCCACCUCCCACCCUGAAGAAAGUUAAAGCGGGCUGUGGAAUUCAGCCUAACUUCACCUGCAUGUCUAGGAGACAAGAAGACGGUUGACCGACUGCUUCAGGGGCAGAAACAGAAAUGUGUGGCCAUAUGGGGUGUCCCGGAGGCUGUUUGCAUGGCUGUGUACAGAAGGACAUCAGCAGAAGAAGUGUUCUGGAUGCCAGGAUCUAAGAAGUGGUCCCAGGAAACCACCUGGAGCAGACAUGCCUUCAAAUGACCUCCACCAUUUGCAAGAGUCCCAGCAGGAAACUCUGGGCUGGGCAGCGAGGAUGCCACAUCACACCCUGCAGGAGCCAGAGACAUCAACCAAGAUCACUCUCAGGAAUGCUGAUGGAAUCUUGCCUGGAUGCAUUGCAAAUAUCACCCCCAGGAGAAAACUGCAGUCUUUCGAGAACACCAAACUUACCCGAGUCUGCAGAAGACUUGCAGAUAAAUCAAACUAAAAUCUAAAAUCGAAAGC